UCUGUCAACUAAAGGGCAAACCUUUAACUAGCUUUUUUAAAGGCUAUCAUGCUGAACUGUAACAGCAUAAGUGACAGUGCAUACAUAGAAGCAAUUGGCGCAAUCAGUUGUAAUUGGCUUUUCAAUUUGCAUAUGUAUAGGGUAAAAAAAUUCAGACAAACGUCAGUAAGAAUUGCGCUCUUAUUGGCGUUU
rnacentral:sRNA from 12 species